AUGACUGCUCCCACCAACUCUGAUGCAAGUGGCCGACCAUCUCCGCCGGCUGCGGAUGUCCAGGCUAGAACAACAGGCAUCCGUACAUCAGGGAGUGACGAGUCGGUAUCUGCCAGGACAGCUGAAAUAUUGCCAACUCUUCUGGCAAUGAAGGAUGCUGCUGUGAGCCAUCCAACCCCAUCAGCAAGUGUUGAAGUGGACGCUCCCGAGACGAAUCUAGGCAAGGAAGAUUCCCGCUCUUCUGACACUGAUUUCAAGCGCGUGCGUGGUGGCACACCUGUGUCCACGACAGAAGCCGCUGAGGCGGCAGUUCAUAAGGAUAUGCCAUCUACAGGUGAGAGUCCUGGCACAACAGCUCCAGCCCCUGUCGGUGCAGAUACUGCUAAGGUGACCGUGGCGCGUGCUGGUCUUCCACCUAGGCGUCGCAGCCCCCGCAAGCAAGCAACAGUCAUACCCAACGCACCGGCUGUAUCUAGGAGCAGGACAGACGAGUCUGGGUAUGUUCCUGCGUCCACACUGUUCCCGACACCCGCCAAAAGCAAUGUGAUGGAGAAACCGCAAGACCGGAGCACAAUUGAUGCAGGUGUGAAGCCGGGCACGAGUGACGCAGGUGAACGGCCGGAGCAGACUGCGCCUUUACCCGCAGUGGAAAUCCCCAGCAUAAAUCUGCGCACUUCCAGGCUCCCAGUCAAUGUCGGUGUCCUCUACAGCCCAAACAAGAAGAUUGCCAUGAAAGCUGCUGCUGAUACCGCUGACAACACGCCCCGCCCUGCAAAUAAGCCCGAACAUUCUGUAGCGGCUGAUUCAGAUAUGUUUGUUGAUCUUUCACCAUCGGAUUCUGCCCCGCAAAUCGUUCGUGGUCCGGCCAGUAGGAAUGAGAGGCACCCAAUGGCAUUUACCCCACCGAGCUUCAGCCUUAGCAUCAGUCAAGAUCAACCGGUGGUGCAAGAUCCUUUGCCAGUUGCCUUUGCUUUCCCAGGAGGCAUGCCCGCAAUGAUGGCGCAGCCAAUGGUCGAGGGCAGGAAGGCUGUCAAGUUUGCGGAGCCAAUUGUGCAAGGCACCCCUGAGGAAAUUUCACCGUCACUUGACGAAGCUUACCGCAAGAUCGAGGAGGCGGCAUUGCAGAGGAGGACCUUGCGAGGGCAAGGGCAAUCAAGUUCCAACUUGCCUGCAGAGACGGCAUCUGAGGAUACCAUCAGAAGUGCCACCCCUGGUUCUGUGAGACAGCAGAGGGUAGUUCACCCACCUCCCGCGGAAGACUACGAGCCCGAAUUCAGGGCCACUAAGGAACAGACCCAGCUGUACGACAUCAUCAAGCGGUUUGGAAAUGCGAGGGCCAGCAGCAAGCACAUGAAGGAGUUGAAAGCAUGA
rnacentral:rRNA from 1 species